GAUGAACGCUGGCGGCAUGCUUUACACAUGCAAGUCGAACGGUAACAGGUUAAGCUGACGAGUGGCGAACGGGUGAGUAAUGCAUCGGAACGUGCCCGGUCGUGGGGGAUAACGCAGCGAAAGCUGCGCUAAUACCGCAUCCGAUCUGAGGAUGAAAGCGGGGGACCGUACGGCCUCGCGCGAUCGGAGCGGCCGAUGUCAGAUUAGGUAGUUGGGGGGGUAAAGGAUCAACAAGCCAACGAUAUGUAGCUGGUCUGAGAGGACGACCAGCCACAGUGGGACGGAGACGCGGCCCAGACGCCUACGGGGGGCAGCAUUGGGGAAUGUUGGACAAAGGGCGAAAGCCUGAUCCAGAAAUGCCGCGUGCAGGAAGAAGGCCUUCGGGUUGUAAACUGCUUUUGUACGGAGCGAAAAGGUCUCCUCUAAUACAGGGGGCUCAUGACGGUACCGUAAGAAUAGGCACCGGCUAACUACGUGACAGCCGCCGCCGUAA
rnacentral:rRNA from 1 species